GCUUAUGGCCAUACCACCCUGAGAACGCCCGAUCUCGUCUGAUCUCGGAAGCUAAGCAGGGUCGGGUCUGGUUAGUACUUGGAUGGGAGACCUCCUGGGAAUACCAGGUGCUGUAAGCU
rnacentral:rRNA from 1 species